CUUGUGUUCCCUCUCUCGCUGGCUGUCUCUAUCUCUGUCAAAUAAAUAAAUAAAAUAUUAAAAAAAACCAUAAAAUGAUACCCCCCCCACUAUAAAGGUAUCCUCUGGGGAGGAGCAGGGGGAGUAUGUGGAAAGAGGUAUGUGUGGGGUUCCUGGGAAACUGGCAAGAUUCUAUCUCUUUAGUGGUUGCUCAGAGGUGCUUACUUUGUGAUAAUCCAUCAGGGAAUAUAUAUAUGAUUUGGGGUUUUCUUGUGUUUUUAAUACUUCAAUAAAAAGUUCAUCUAAAA